GGAGGGUGCGAGCGUUGUUCGGAAUUACUGGGCGUAAAGCGCGUGUAGGCGGCCUUGCAAGUCAGGCGUGAAAGCCUUCGGCUUAACCGGGGAAGUGCGUCUGAAACUGCUUGGCUUGAGUACUGGAGAGGGAGGCGGAAUUCCCAGUGUAGAGGUGAAAUUCGUAGAUAUUGGGAGGAACACCGGUGGCGAAAGCGGCCUCCUGGACCGAUACUGACGCUGAGACGCGAAAGCGUGGGGAGCAAACAGGAUUAGAUACCCUGGUAGUCCACGCGGUAAACGAUGGGCACUAGGUGUGGGGGGUAUCCACUCCUCCCGUGCCGAAGCUAACGCAUUAAGUGCCCCGCCUGGGGAGUACGGCCGCAAGGUUA
rnacentral:rRNA from 1 species